CUCAGAGAUGGGGUUUCCCUUCGGGGCUGGUUCACAGGUGGUGCAUGGUUGUCGUCAGCUCGUGUCGUGAGAUGUUGGGUUAAGUCCCGCAACGAGCGCAACCCUCGUUCCAUGUUGCCAGCACGUAGUGGUGGGGACUCAUGGGAGACUGCCGGGGUCAACUCGGAGGAAGGUGGGGAUGACGUCAAAUCAUCAUGCCCCUUAUGUCUUGGGCUUCACGCAUGCUACAAUGGCCGGUACAAUGGGUUGCGAUACUGUGAGGUGGAGCUAAUCCCUAAAGGCCGGUCUCAGUUCGGAUUGGGGUCUGCAACUCGACCCCAUGAAGUCGGAGUCGCUAGUAACCGUAGAUCAGCAUGCUAC
rnacentral:rRNA from 1 species